AAUAAGUGCAGUUUUGCACUGUUCAUAUUUAACGUUUGACCAUCCAUCUUAUUUGAAAAAAUUUUGUAAUUAGUAUUUUUGUUGUUAUUAGAUGAUAAAACAUGAACAAUACUUUAUGUGUGACUAAUUUUUUUAAUUUUUUCAUAAAUACUUUAUGUGUGACUAAUUUUUUUUAAUUUUUUCAUAAAUUUUUUAAAUAAAAUGGAUGAUCAAAGUUGUAUACGGAUAUCUAUAGUAGUCACUUUUA
rnacentral:pre_miRNA from 1 species